GGAAGGAGCGGAGCUACCUGCAGUCGAGCGGCAGCAGAAGUAGCUUGCUACUUUGCCCGCGAGCGGCGGACGGGUGAGUAAUGUCUGGGAAACUGCCUGAUGGAGGGGGAUAACUACUGGAAACGGUAGCUAAUACCGCAUAACGUCACAAGACCAAAGAGGGGGACCUUCGGGCCUCUUGCCAUCAUAUGUGCCCAGAUGGGAUUAUCUAGUAGGUGGGGUAACGGCUCACCUAGGAGACUAUCCCUAGCUGGUCUGAGAGGAUGACCACCCACACUGGAACUGAGACACGGUCCAGACUCCUACGGGAGGCAGCAGUGGGGAAUAUUGCACAGUGGGCGCAAGCCUGAUGCACCCAUGCCGCGUGUAUGAAGAAGGCCUUCGGGUUGUAAAGUACUUUCAGCGGGGAAGAAGGUGUUGAGGUUAAUAACCUCAGCAAUUGACGUUACCCGCAAAAGAAGCACCGGCUAACUCCGUGCCAGCAGCCGCGGUAAUACAGAGGGUGCAAGCGUUAAUCAGAAUUACUGGGCGUAAAGCGCACGCGGGCGGUCUGUCAAGUCAGAUGUGAAAUCCCCGGGCUCAACCUGGGAACUGCAUUCAAAACUGGCAGGCUAGAGUCUUGUAGAGGGGGAUAGAAUUCCGGGUGUAGCGGAGAAAUGCAUAGAGAUCUGGAGGAAUACCGGUGGCGAAGGCGGCCCCCUGGACAAAGACUGACUCUCAUGUGCGAAAGCGUGGGGAGCACACGGGAUUAGAUACCCUGGUAGUCCACGCCGUAAACGAUGUCAACUUGGAGGUUGUGCCCUUGAGGCGUGUCUUCCAGAGCUAACGCGUUAAGUCGACCGCCUGGGGAGUACGGCCGCCGGGUUAACACUCAAAUGAAUUGGCGGGGGGCCCCCACAGCCGGGGCACAUGUGGUUUAUUUGAUGCCACGAAAAGAUCUUACUUA
rnacentral:rRNA from 1 species